UCCUGGUUAACCCAGGCAGUCUCAUUAGAGUUCCCAUCUUUCUUGUUGGCAACUAAUGAUAAGGGUUGCGCUCGUUGCGGGACUUAACCCAACACCUCACGGCACGAGCUGACGACAGCCAUGCAGCACCUGUGCAGUGGUCCCGAAGGACAUGAUCAUCUCUGAUCACUUCCACUGCAUGUCAAGCCUGGGUAAGGUUCUUCGCGUUGCAUCGAAUUAAACCACAUGCUCCACUGCUUGUGCGGGUCCCCGUCAAUUCUUUUGAGUUUUACACUUGCGUGCGUACUCCCCAGGCGGUAUACUUAUCGCGUUAGCUUCGGCACAACCGGGGUUGAGUCCAGUUACACCAAGUAUACAUCGUUUACGGCAAGGACUAC
rnacentral:misc_RNA from 1 species